AGAAAUUAGAAUGCCCUUGGGCAGAAAAUGUUUUUUGCCUUUUAUCUAAUUUAUGCUAAAGAAAUUCAAUUUUUUGGGUUUAAAAAAUAUCUUUAUAUAUAAAUUGACAUUUUCACAUUUGAAAAGAAACAAAAAAAUGAAAAAUAGACCUAAAGCUAUUCUCGGACACCUAUUCUAAAGCUAUUCUCGGACAUGAUUUUAUAAUAGUUACAUUCAUUUGUAAACGUAACAUAUAGUUCACCUUAAGGAAAUUCUUUUUUCUUUUUCUUUCUCUUUUUUUUUUUGAAUAAUCAAAGAGGUUCUGUGCCGAAGCCCAUACAUCCCCUCAGGCCCGAAACCAAAGCUUGUUAUAUGGUUUCGUCCCAAGUGCUACUCGAACCGGCGACCUCUAAGCUUUUGCUAGAGAGCUUUACCAAUUGAGCUAUUAGCACUU
rnacentral:lncRNA from 1 species